GAAGCACGUGGAUCGUUUCUAUUUAAACGUGCUUUUGCGCGAUUUUCAUUGUAGCAGGGGUUUAUUCCUGCUGAAGAUUUCUGACUUCAAUGACUAAGUAAAACUAUCAUUGUGUACAAUCAAAUGUUAGAUACUGCAGAAAUAAACAAUAUGUUCACUGUGCUUUUGCCUGCCGAAGUGUUAAAAAAGAUACAAAUCUUUGUAUCGGUUAUCCUUCGCGUUACGUUAAGGAUGCGCAGUUUAUUUAUGAAGUGCAACAAGAACAUACACGCGGAUGACAAGUACUGCGAGAGCGACUCGAAAGAUCAUGGACAGCAUUCUGAUUUCAAAUCACUCUCGCGGUAUUUUAACGUCAUCCGUUUGUCAGUUCCUGCAACUCAACAUUACGUUGAACACCUUGUCAAAAAUGAUUGAGAUGGCCAAUCAAAUCAAAAAAGGCGAGUGCCACUGGCCAAUCACGAGGUUUCCUGUUAACGGAAGCCGAGCGGCGGCCAAUCAAAUUAACCAAUAGGCGGGGUUACCGUUGGAGUAGCAGUUACACCACGUCAAUCAAUCAUAACGGACACAGAUUUCAAAGGCAGCAGGAUGAAAGAUAACCAACAUGAAGACUCUGGAGUGGGACAAGAAGGAUGAAGGAUGAUGGGGUGUAUAUUCCAAUAGACACAUCAAGUGAAAGCUGAUAAAUACAGAGGGCUGGACAGUGGUUUCAUUGAUUAAGUAAAGAGGUGGGACAAUGAUGCUUACAGGAAAGGAGGAGGUGACAUUCAGACAUUCAGCACAGACAUUUUCAUCCAAAGCAACUUGAGGAAGAAAACAGAAGCAGUUCAUCCUAAAAAGUGGGCUGCUGUAAUGUUUACAUCUAUGGAAAGAGGAGCUGAGAAGAAAAGAGACACUGGAAAGCAGUACUUCUUGUUGAGGACAAUCCUGAAUAGGAACACUUUCUCAUACACAUAGAUUAUUAUUAGUGUUUGAUUUUUUUCUUUAUGAAUUGUAUUGUUUUAAUUUUUCGUUUUAUUUGAAAUUACCUAAGUUAGAUUCAUGCUAAUACUUUAACUGAAACUUGUAUCUUUGCUGGCUGGCUGUAGAGUUGGUUUCACAUACACAUGAAGUUUCUAAUUAACUAACUUUUAAGUUCAGUUUGGUUUAAACUUGUAUAUACCCAUGGUAAUUCAUUUAAAUUUCAAUUCAUGCUAAUAUAUUAAUUUCAAUGAACUUCUGUAUUUGUGUAUAACUGGCAAUUUGGGCAAACUACAUUUCACACAUCAAUGUAACUGUCAAAAAGUUUUUUUUUAUUAUCAGUUUGUUCUAAACUUUUGUUUGUUUACUAAGGAUGAAAUUGCUUUGUAAUUUAAGUUGUUGGUGUUAGAUUCAUGCCAAUAAUGUAUUUGAACAAACUAGUAUUUUUGUUUAUUGCUGGCAGUUUAUACUAGAAGAGUUUUAACACAUACAAUGUUGUAGUGUUAUAUUGACUUGUGUGCUAUUGAUUAAUAAAAAGGCAAACAAUUUGAAA